rnacentral:rRNA from 1 species
AUUGAACGCUGGCGGCAUGCUUUACACAUGCAAGUCGAACGGUAACAGGGGCUUCGGCCUGCUGACGAGUGGCGAACGGGUGAGUAAUGCGUCGGAACGCACCGAGUAAUGGGGGAUAACGCAGCGAAAGCUGUGCUAAUACCGCAUACGCUCUGAGGAGGAAAGCAGGGGAUCGUAAGACCUUGCGUUAUUCGAGCGGCCGACGUCGGAUUAGCUAGUAGGUGAGGUAAGAGCUCACCUAGGCGACGAUCAGUAGCGGGUCUGAGAGGAUGAUCCGCCACACUGGGACUGAGACACGGCCCAGACUCCUACGGGAGGCAGCAGUGGGGAAUUUUGGACAAUGGGCGCAAGCCUGAUCCAGCCAUGCCGCGUGUCUGAAGAAGGCCUUCGGGUUGUAAAGCACUUUUAGUUGGGAAGAAAAGCUCAAGACUAAUACCCUUGAGUGAUGACGUUACCAACAGAAAAAGCACUGGCUAACUCUGUGCCAGCAGCCGCCGUAAAAC